GGACUUAAAAACAUAACAUGUUAUAAUUUCCCGAACCCGUUAAAAUAACUAGGAGUAAUUAACCUAGUUAGUGGCUUGUGAUUAAGUGACUAAUGGUGAGGCAUAGCUUUAUUUGAUCAAAAGAAAACCCGAGGGACCAAAACCGUUAAAAAUGGGAAACUUGAAAGAUUAAAACAAAAUAAACACCACCAAACACACACUUAGGUGUGUUUGGCCGAUUAAAAACGCAGGGAUCAAGCAUGAGCUUCACACAAACCCUAACUCUCACUAAAUCAGUCAAUUGAAGGUUCUAAUCUGGUCCAAAUCGAAAUCCGAGCACGUAUUAGUGAUCCCCACUGAAAAAGGAGUCACAAGUUUGACUCUAAACAAGCUAGGUGGGAGCUUGGAAAGGAACGGGUCAAACGAAUGAUGGAUGCGAAGGAUGUUUGCUCGGACGCAAGGUAAGUAAAGCUUACACUUUUUUUAUACGUAUUUACUUUAUAGAUUAUAGACACGACCAAGGUUAUAUCCGAAAUAUGGGUUCCGACACGAAAUGAUACGGGUCGGGAAGAAUAAAAGGAUAAAAACCAUGUUUAAUGACAAAAAGGGGCGAAAUGGGUUAAAUAAUGAAAUGGUAAAUAAAUACCAUUCAAAUAUAAGUGCAAAAUGUUGGUCGUUUAGACUAAACAGGUCAAAUGGUAAUGUUAACACCAUUUGACGAAUAACGACUAACAAGUGCAUGUCAAGUCUAAUGCUCACAGGGUAAAACGGCUUAUGGAAUUUACGUGGCUAUGAAUCAGCAAAUUAUUAAGGCAAGGUAUUAAAACGGGUCAAUACUUUGACCCGCGCCAGGUACGCGUAAAUUUGGUGAAGAUAUGUGAAUACCUUAAUGUAGAAAAAUGACAUGUUAAAGUAGAGAGUGGGAUUUAAACUUAAAUGAUUAAAUUUUCUCUAACGGGUCAAAAUAUGCAUUUAAGCAUAGACGGGUCAAAAUCUUGUAAAAAGGUAAUAAGCCGAAUGCAUAAAAGUCAAAAAAAAAUUAUUAAGUCGGAUGUCGGACUUUAACUCUAUAUGAUGGAGAAUCAAAUUACAAACAUGUAGGAAGAAAUGGUAGGUCAAACGGACAAGCGAAUUUAAAGAUACGAAAGAUUUCGUGUCAAUUACGGCAAAAUGGAGAGGCUGAAUGCAGGGGCCACCGUAACUUACGGUGCCACCGUAAGUUACGGUGGAGCUGAAUUAUUUACGGUGGUUGCCUACUGUUGUACGGUAGGAAAAUUUUAUUACAGAGGCCACCGUAACUUACGGUGCCAUCGUAAGUUACGGUGGAGGUUAUUUUCAACUUUUUGUUUUUGGAAUCAAUGGUUUCCCGGACUCGUUUGGACACGUUUUUAAACCCGUAAGACUAAAGCAUUUCGUGUUUAUGAAAUGUAGGUACAUUUUGGAUGCUGGAAGACGAUCAAGCUCGACGAAGGACCGAACACGAUAUAGAUACAUGCUUUCGCACUCUAACACAUUGCAAUUUUUUUAACAACGAAUUCAUCCACGUUAUGUAGAAUAACUUAUGAAUUGUAAAAGUUUUAAUAAAUUCGUAUUUUUAUAGUAUGUGUAGGCUUAACUACACAUCUAAUUGUUGGCGAAUACAUACAAAUUGUUAAUUAGUAACUCGGGUGUUACAAGUUGGUAAUCAGAGCUCAUGGUUAAAAAGUAAAGUGUGUUCGGUUCAAGGCUUGAUCGCAAAUCCGGUAAGUACGUGUAUGUUAAUAGUUUAGUAUGCUAAAGUGUUGUAAACAUCACAUAGGGCUAUCGUGUGGUACACGUUACCCCAAUUAAAAUGAUUGAUAUAGUUGACGAAAAUACGCGCGUUGACGCGUAUAGUAGAAAAAAGCCUUGUAUUAUAAUACGGGCGAUUAUUGAAGUUGACGUUACUAACUUUCGUGAAUGUUUUAAUUGAAGGACACUCGCGUUUGAAGACGACGAGAGUCAAACGAAUUGUGGAUAUGACUGUGGAACGGUCCGAGGUAUGACAAGCAGAGCAUGCUCAUCAAGGACCUAAAUCACGUGACGAUCGCGAACAAAGUUAAAGGCAUGGAAAGCCCGUUAAGGGCAAGCAUUAUCAGGGAACGAGCAGGAGCUUCACACAAACCCUAACUCUCACUAAAUCAGUCAAUUGAAGGCUCUAAUCUGGUCCAAAUCGAAAUCCGAGCACGUAUUAGUGAUCCCCACUGAAAAAGGAGUCACAAGUUUGACUCUAAACAAGCUAGGUGGGAGCUUGGAAAGGAACGGGUCAAACGAAUGAUGGAUGCGAAGGAUGUUUGCGCGGACGCGAGGUAAGUAAAGCUUACACUUUUUUUAUACGUAUUUACUUUAUAGAUUAUAGACACGACCAAGGUUAUAUCCGAAAUAUGGGUUCCGACACGAAAUGAUACGGGUCGGGAAGAAUAAAAGGAUAAAAACCAUGUUUAAUGACAAAAAGGGGCGAAAUGGGUUAAAUAAUGAAAUGGUAAAUAAAUACCAUUCAAAUAUAAGUGCAAAAUGUUGGCCGUUUAGACAAAACAGGUCAAAUGGUAAUGUUAACACCAUUUGACGAAUAACCACUAACAAGUGCAUGUCAAGUCUAAUGCUCACAGGGUAAAACGGCUUAUGGAAUUUACGUGGCUAUGAAUCAGCAAAUUAUUAAGGCAAGGUAUUAAAACGGGUGCCGCGCCAGGUACGCAUAAAUUUGGUGAAGAUAUGUGAAUACCUUAAUGUAGAAAAAUGACAUGUUAAAGUAGAGAGUGGGAUUUAAACUUAAAUGAUUAAAUUUUCUCUAACGGGUCAAAAUAUGCAUUUAAGCAUAGACGGGUCAAAAUCUUGUAAAAAGGUAAUAAGCCGAAUGCAUAAAAGUCAAAAAAAAAAAAUUAUUAAGUCGGAUGUCGGACUUUAACUCUAUAUGAUGGAGAAUCAAAUUACAAACAUGUAGGAAGAAAUGGUAGGUCAAACGGACAAGCGAAUUUAAAGAUACGAAAGAUUUCGUGUCAAUUACGGCAAAAUGGAGAGGCUGAAUGUAGGGGCCAUCGUAACUUACGGUGCCACCGUAAGUUACGGUGGAGCUGAAUUAUUUACGGUGGUUGCCUACUGUUGUACGGUAGGAAAAUUUUAUUACAGAGGCCACCGUAACUUACGGUGCCACCGUAAGUUACGGUGGAGGUUAUUUUCAACUUUUUGUUUUUGGAAUCAAUGGUUUCCCGGACUCGUUUGGACACGUUUUUAAACCCGUAAGACUAAAGCAUUUCGUGUUUAUGAA